rnacentral:rRNA from 1 species
GGAGCUUGCUCCCUGAUGUUAGCGGCGGACGGGUGAGUAACACGUGGGUAACCUGCCUGUAAGACUGGGAUAACUCCGGGAAACCGGGGCUAAUACCGGAUGGUUGUUUGAACCGCAUGGUUCAAACAUAAAAGGUGGCUUCGGCUACCACUUACAGAUGGACCCGCGGCGCAUUAGCUAGUUGGUGAGGUAACGGCUCACCAAGGCAACGAUGCGUAGCCGACCUGAGAGGGUGAUCGGCCACACUGGGACUGAGACACGGCCCAGACUCCUACGGGAGGCAGCAGUAGGGAAUCUUCCGCAAUGGACGAAAGUCUGACGGAGCAACGCCGCGUGAGUGAUGAAGGUUUUCGGAUCGUAAAGCUCUGUUGUUAGGGAAGAACAAGUACCGUUCGAAUAGGGCGGUACCUUGACGGUACCUAACCAGAAAGCCACGGCUAACUACGUGCCAGCAGCCGCGGUAAUACGUAGGUGGCAAGCGUUGUCCGGAAUUAUUGGGCGUAAAGGGCUCGCAGGCGGUUUCUUAAGUCUGAUGUGAAAGCCCCCGGCUCAACCGGGGAGGGUCAUUGGAAACUGGGGAACUUGAGUGCAGAAGAGGAGAGUGGAAUUCCACGUGUAGCGGUGAAAUGCGUAGAGAUGUGGAGGAACACCAGUGGCGAAGGCGACUCUCUGGUCUGUAACUGACGCUGAGGAGCGAAAGCGUGGGGAGCGAACAGGAUUA